AUGAACGCUAGCUACAGGCUUAACACAUGCAAGUCGAGGGGCAGCAUUUUAGUUUGCUUGCAAACUAAAGAUGGCGACCGGCGCACGGGUGAGUAACACGUAUCCAACCUGCCGAUAACUCGGGGAUAGCCUUUCGAAAGAAAGAUUAAUAUCCGAUAGUAUAUUAAAACCGCAUGGUUUUACUAUUAAAGAAUUUCGGUUAUCGAUGGGGAUGCGUUCCAUUAGUUUGUUGGCGGGGUAACGGCCCACCAAGACUACGAUGGAUAGGGGUUCUGAGAGGAAGGUCCCCCACAUUGGAACUGAGACACGGUCCAAACUCCUACGGGAGGCAGCAGUGAGGAAUAUUGGUCAAUGGACGAGAGUCUGAACCAGCCAAGUAGCGUGAAGGAUGACUGCCCUAUGGGUUGUAAACUUCUUUUAUAUGGGAAUAAAGUAUUCCACGUGUGGAAUUUUGUAUGUACCAUAUGAAUAAGGAUCGGCUAACUCCGUGCCAGCAGCCGCGGUAAUACGGAGGAUCCGAGCGUUAUCCGGAUUUAUUGGGUUUAAAGGGAGCGUAGGUGGAUUGUUAAGUCAGUUGUGAAAGUUUGCGGCUCAACCGUAAAAUUGCAGUUGAAACUGGCAGUCUUGAGUACAGUAGAGGUGGGCGGAAUUCGUGGUGUAGCGGUGAAAUGCUUAGAUAUCACGAAGAACUCCGAUUGCGAAGGCAGCUCACUAGACUGCAACUGACACUGAUGCUCGAAAGUGUGGGUAUCAAACAGGAUUAGAUACCCUGGUAGUCCACACAGUAAACGAUGAAUACUCGCUGUUUGCGAUAUACAGUAAGCGGCCAAGCGAAAGCAUUAAGUAUUCCACCUGGGGAGUACGCCGGCAACGGUGAAACUCAAAGGAAUUGACGGGGGCCCGCACAAGCGGAGGAACAUGUGGUUUAAUUCGAUGAUACGCGAGGAACCUUACCCGGGCUUAAAUUGCAUUUGAAUAAUCUGGAAACAGGUUAGCCGCAAGGCAAAUGUGAAGGUGCUGCAUGGUUGUCGUCAGCUCGUGCCGUGAGGUGUCGGCUUAAGUGCCAUAACGAGCGCAACCCUUAUCUUUAGUUACUAACAGGUUAUGCUGAGGACUCUAGAGAGACUGCCGUCGUAAGAUGUGAGGAAGGUGGGGAUGACGUCAAAUCAGCACGGCCCUUACGUCCGGGGCUACACACGUGUUACAAUGGGGGGUACAGAAGGCAGCUACCUGGCGACAGGAUGCUAAUCCCAAAAACCUCUCUCAGUUCGGAUCGAAGUCUGCAACCCGACUUCGUGAAGCUGGAUUCGCUAGUAAUCGCGCAUCAGCCAUGGCGCGGUGAAUACGUUCCCGGGCCUUGUACACACCGCCCGUCAAGCCAUGAAAGCCGGGGGGUACCUGAAGUACGUAACCGCAAGGAGCGUCCUAGGGUAAAACUGGUAAUUGGGGCU
rnacentral:rRNA from 1 species